AGGACGAACGCUGGCGGCGUGCCUAACACAUGCAAGUCGAGCGAGGAGAUCCUUCGGGAUGAUCCUAGCGGCGGACGGGUGAGUAACACGUGGGCAACCUGCCUCAUAGAGAGGAAUAGCCUUCCGAAAGGGAGAUUAAUACCUCAUAACAUUGCAGUUUCGCAUGGAACAGCAAUUAAAGGAGUAAUCCGCUAUGAGAUGGGCCCGCGGCGCAUUAGCUAGUUGGUGAGGUAACGGCUCACCAAGGCGACGAUGCGUAGCCGACCUGAGAGGGUGAUCGGCCACAUUGGGAUGAGACACGGCCCAGACUCCUACGGGAGGCAGCAGUGGGGAAUAUUGCACAAUGGGGGAAACCCUGAUGCAGCCAACGCCGCGUGAGUGAUGACGGCCUUCGGGUUGUAAAGCUCUGUCUUCAGGGACGAUAAUGACGGUACCUGAGGAGGAAGCCACGGCUAACUACGUGCCAGCAGCUGC
rnacentral:rRNA from 1 species